CAGCAUUGCCUUCUGAAGAGGACCUCAGGCGCUUCUCUAUUAGUCUGCCUUCUCGGAUGAGAAACACUGUGCUUCAGCUCGAGCUGCAGUUUUUUCCGAGCAUGUACUGCCAAAAAGAAGAUGGCUCAUCACCACAAGUGGGUGAAGGAAACCAGGAGUGGUUAGCAGAAACACUCAGAAGAAUGAAGAAUAGGAGGAAAUUCAAAAGGUUUUUGUUAAUACAACAGUGAAAUUACAAGGUGCUCUGAAAAAAUGACUGAAGCCAUGACCAUACUUACUCGCUUACAGCAGCACAGCCAUGCCACUCUGGCUCUUGCGUAGACAAGUUACACAGAUAGGAGAGAGCUCUCCCAUCGACAUAAUAAAACCAGUGCAUCAAGGUCUCCUGCUGACAUAGCGCUGUGCACUUUUGCCAGCAAAAUGUGUCACUCGAAGGGGUGUUUUUUCACAUUCCUGAGUGACAAAAGUCUUGCUGUCAUAAGUGCUAGUGUAGACAUGGCAAAGGUAAAGUGUGACCAGAUGGGAUAAGCCAAGAAAAAACAAGGACAAAGAUUCAAGAGAAAUGGGAAAACUCAAGUAUUUUUGUUGAGUUAAUUUUCAUUUAUGCAUCUUUAAUUUCUUAAUGUUUGUCUUAUUCUUAGAAUGUGUCAGUUAACACUUAAUAUCUUCAAAGCUCUCUGGGUCUCAAGAUUCACGCUUUGUUCCUAUACCUCUUCUCACUCAGUGAAGUCAAGAUAGAAUCAUCCCUGAACAUCCCUGUUGACUCUCACCAUCUUGAAAAGAAGUUCUGAACACUUUUAUAUCAUGAAGCAAUUGGGUAGUUGUAUGGGGGAAAAAAAGUCCUGGACCUAGGAAACAUUGCAGAGACGUUGCCGACAAGAUUCUGAUACAAGCCAUCACAGAAACCAAGCUGUUUGUUUCUAGGAAAUAUCAAGAUCCGCGAAUUGUCCAUUUCAGUGCUCCCAACACUAUGACAGCACCAGUCUCCCACCCUCAGUGACCUGAGGCUCAGCUGAUAUGCCUGGGAUUGUUAGCUACUUUUGAGACUCCAGCACUAUAUCUAUAAAUUGCUUUCACAGUCAACUACAACAACAGUAAGUAGGCAGGUAAGGAAGAUAAAAACGGCUUUCCUGGAGCCUCCUGUGUUUACCUGAAGCGUGGCUCUGGAUUCUUGAAGUUCCGCCCCCUCCCAACACUGGUCCUCUCACUUCUGCCCCAAAGACCCCUUUGAACUAAUCUGGUAUCAUGCGAGGGCAAGAGAGAGAGAGUCUUGCCUUGCUGCUUGGGAAACAAUGCACUAAAUCCACAGAGUAUAUAUUCCCAUCCAUGUAUGCAUGGAGAAGAAUGCAGGCUACUCCCCAGAAAUGUACAUUAAUAAUCUGUGACCAGAUGCUAGCAAAAAGUGAAAAAGCAAAUAACCCUGGUAAUUUAAUCCUCUAUUAUAUUCGACAUUGCACCUUGAAGGAAUAAGUGUUUAAAUCCCCAUAAAUGAAGUUUACUAUUUUAAAUAAGAAAAAAGAAUCCUGCAUCACUGAAUGGAGUCUGAACCCUUCCACAAUUUCUGGCUACUGUUAAUUAAACAAAUGGUCUCCAUGGACUAUGAUGAACUAUGAUGUGAUUGACAUAACGGAGACUUGGCAUAAUGGAGAGUCACAUGAUUGGAGCACUGCCAUAGAAGGGUAUAAACUGUUCAGGAAGGACCUCAUGAAAUUCUUAUCGAUUAGUCAACUAUUCCAG